ACGGAAGGCAGCAGUGGGGAAUAUUGCACAAUGGGCGAAAGCCUGAUGCAGCGACGCCGCGUGAGUGAAGAAGUAUCUCGGUAUGUAAAGCUCUAUCAGCAGGGAAGAAAAUGACGGUACCUGACUAAGAAGCCCCGGCUAGCUACGUGCCAGCAGCCGCGGUAAUACGUAGGGGGCAAGCGUUAUCCGGAUUUACUGGGUGUAAAGGGAGCGUAGACGGUUUGGCAAGUCUGAAGUGAAAUGCGGGGGCUCAACUCCUGAACUGCUUUGGAAACUGUCGAACUAGAGUGCAGGAGAGGUAAGUGGAAUUCCUAGUGUAGCGGUGAAAUGCGUAGAUAUUAGGAGGAACACCAGUGGCGAAGGCGGCUUACUGGACUGUAACUGACGUUGAGGCUCGAAAGCGUGGGGAGCAAACAGGAUUAGAUACCCUGGUA
rnacentral:rRNA from 1 species